UACGAAGGGGGCUAGCGUUACUCGGAUUGACUGGGCGUAAAGGGCGCGUAGGCGGAUGGUACAGUCAGACGUGAAAUUCCUGGGCUCAACCGGGGGGCUGCGUUUGAUACGUGCUGUCUGGAGUUCGGAAGAGGGUCGUGGAAUUCCCAGUGUAGAGGUGAAAUUCGUAGAUAUUGGGAAGAACACCGGUGGCGAAGGCGGCGACCUGGUCCGAUACUGACGCUGAGGCGCGAAAGCGUGGGGAGCAAACAGG
rnacentral:rRNA from 1 species